rnacentral:ncRNA from 1 species
UGUCUCCUCCACCCUCCAAAGGUGGAUUCCAACCCUGGGUUUCACGACCCGGGGUUUUUUUU